UGCCAUACCAUAGAAUAAACCUUACCUCUG
rnacentral:piRNA from 1 species